rnacentral:rRNA from 1 species
UUAAACAAGAGAGUUUGAUCCUGGCUCAGGAUGAACGCUGGCGGCGUGCCUAACACAUGCAAGUCGAACGAAGUUACACAG